AUUGAACGCUGGCGGCAGGCCUAACACAUGCAAGUCGAACGAGUGGCGGACGGGUGAGUAAUGUCUGGGAAACUGCCUGAUGGAGGGGGAUAACUACUGGAAACGGUAGCUAAUACCGCAUACCAUCAGAUGUGCCCAGAUGGGCUUAGCUUGUUGGUGGGGUAACGGCUCACCAAGGCGACGAUCCCUAGCUGGUCUGAGAGGAUGACCGGCCACACUGGAACUGAGACACGGACCAGACUCCUACGGGAGGGAGCAGUGGGGAAUAGUGCGCAAUGGGCGCAAGUCUGAUGCAGCCAUGCCGCGUGUGAGAAGAAGGCGUUCGGGUUGUAAAGUACUUUCGUCGGGGAGGCGUUACCCGCAGAAGAAGCACCGGCUAACUCCGUGCCAGCAGCCGCGGUAAUUC
rnacentral:rRNA from 1 species